AGAGUUUGAUCCUGGCUCAGAACGAACGCUGGCGGCGUGGAUAAGACAUGCAAGUCGAGCGAGAUUUUUCGUUGUAGCAAUACGAUGGAAAGUCUAGCGGCGAACGGGUGCUUAACACGUGGGCAACCUGCCAUGAAGUGGGGGAUAGCUCGCCGAAAGGCGAAUUAAUACCGCAUGUGAUUAGAGAGGACAUCCCUUCGAAAUUAAAGUCGGGGCAACCUGACGCUUCUUGUGGGGCCCGCGGCCUAUCAGCUAGUUGGUGAGGUAACGGCUCACCAAGGCUUUGACGGGUAGCUGGUCUGAGAGGACGACCAGCCACACUGGGACUGAGACACGGCCCAGACACCUACGGGUGGCAGCAGUCGAGAAUUUUUGACAAUGGGGGAAACCCUGAUCGAGCGACGCCGCGUGGAGGAUGAAGGUCUUCGGAUUGUAAACUCCUGUCAUUGGGGAACAAGGUGCAUACGUUAACUGCGUGUGUAUUGAUAGUACCCGAAGAGGAAGGGACGGCUAACUCUGUGCCAGCAGCCGCGGUAAUACAGAGGUCUCAAGCGUUGUUCGGAUUCAUUGGGCGUAAAGGGUGCGUAGGCGGCGCGGUAAGUCGGGUGUGAAAUCUCGGAGCUUAACUCCGAAACUGCAUUCGAUACUGCCGUGCUUGAGGACUGGAGAGGAGACUGGAAAUUUACGGUGUAGCGGUGAAAAUGCGUAGAUAUCGUAAGGAAGACCAGUGGCGAAGGCGGGUCUCUGGACAGUUCCUGACGCUGAGGCACGAAAGGUCAGGGGAGCAAACGGGGAUUAGAUACCCCCGUAGUCC
rnacentral:rRNA from 1 species